rnacentral:rRNA from 1 species
CCCUUAGAUGUUCUGGGCUGCACGCGCGCUACACUGAAGCGUUCAACGACUAUUCACCUUGCCCGGGAGGGUUGGGUAAUCUUUUGAAAACGCUUCGUGAUGGGGAUAGAUUAUUGCAAUUAUUAAUCUUCAACGAGGAAUUCCUAGUAAGCGCGAGUCAUCAGCUCGUGCUGAUUACGUCCCUGCCCUUUGUACACACCGCCCGUCGCUCCCACCGAUUGAGUGAUCCGGUGAAUAAUUCGGACUGCAGCACUGCUUGGUCUCCAGGCUUUGCAGCGGAAAGUUUAGUGAACCUUAUCACUUAGAGGAAGGAGAAGUCGUAACA